rnacentral:rRNA from 1 species
GCCCAAGAGAUCGGGAUAACACCUGGAAACAGAUGCUAAUACCGGAUAACAACAGAUGAUGCCUAUCAACUGUUUAAAAGAUGGUUCUGCUAUCACUCUUGGAUGGACCUGCGGUGCAUUAGCUAGUUGGUAGGGUAACGGCCUACCAAGGCGAUGAUGCAUAGCCGAGUUGAGAGACUGAUCGGCCACAUUAGGACUGAGACACGGCCCAAACUCCUACGGGAGGCAGCAGAG